rnacentral:rRNA from 1 species
AGCGAACGCUGGCGGCAGGCCUAACACAUGCAAGUCGAACGAAGUCUUCGGACUUAGUGGCGGACGGGUGGGUAACACGUGGGAACGUGCCUUUUGGUUCGGAAUAACUCAGGGAAACUUGUGCUAAUACCGAAUGUGCCCUUCGGGGGAAAGAUUUAUCGCCUUUAGAGCGGCCCGCGUCUGAUUAGCUAGUUGGUGAGGUAAAGGCUCACCAAGGCUGCGAUCAGUAGCUGGUCUGAGAGGAUGACCAGCCACAUUGGGACUGAGACACGGCCCAAACUCCUACGGGAGGCAGCAGUGGGGAAUCUUGCGCAAUGGGCGAAAGCCUGACGCAGCCAUGCCGCGUGGAUGAUGAAGGUCUUAGGAUUGUAAAAUCCUUUCACCGGUGAAGAUAAUGACUGUAGCCGGAGAAGAAGCCCCGGCUAACUUCGUGCCAGCAGCCGCCGUAACAC